CCCUAGGCUCCUCUUGUCCAAACUGCAGGUAGAGGAGAGAGCUGGGUCACAGAAGAGGGUCUAGGG
rnacentral:pre_miRNA from 1 species